rnacentral:snRNA from 1 species
AUACUUACCUGGACGGGGUCUAUGGCUGAUCAAGAAGAGCCAUGGCCUAGGCUAGUGGCCCGCAUUGCACUUUGUGGGUGCGUUGGCUUACCAUCUCCCCUUUGAGGGAGAGUGGAUGUCGUAAUUUGUGGUAGAGGGGGUACGCGUUCGCGCGGCCCCUAC